rfam:Myroides profundi strain D25, complete genome.
UACCUUUGCAAACGUAAAUACGGAUACACCGUAUUUCAUGCAUAAAAAUCAUUAAAAAUAAUAUUGGCAUG